UUCUAGGUCCAGUACUGAACUAACUGAUAGAAUAAUGCAAGAGAGCCCACGACAGAGAAUUGUUAUCAUGGAGGAGAAGGUGGUGGUUGCAUCUACGUACACGCAGGGUGUGUUGAGUUCAAUUUCGAAAGGAGAUGAAAUUGAAUCCAGCCAAGUUGGGAAGUCUAAUG